UACAGAGGGUGCUAGCGUUGUUCGGAAUCAUUGGGCGUAAAGGGCGUGUAGGCGGUUUGCUAAGUCAUGUGUGAAAUCCCCGGGCUCAACCUGGGAACUGCAUCUGUGACUGCAUAGCUAGAGUACGGUAGAGGGGGAUGGAAUUCCGCGUGUAGCAGUGAAAUGCGUAGGUAUGCGGAGGAACACCGAUGGCGAAGGCAAUCCCCUGGACCUGUACUGACGCUCAUGCACGAAAGCGUGGGGAGCAAACAGG
rnacentral:rRNA from 1 species